AUUGAACGCUGGCGGCAGGCCUAACACAUGCAAGUCGAGCGGGGUUUUCGGACCUAGCGGCGGACGGGUGAGUAAUGCGUAGGAAGCUACCCGAUAGAGGGGGAUACCAGUUGGAAACGACUGUUAAUACCGCAUAAUGUCUACGGACCAAAGUGUGGGACCUUCGGGCCACAUGCUAUCGGAUGCGCCUACGUGGGAUUAGCUAGUUGGUGAGGUAAUGGCUCACCAAGGCGACGAUCCCUAGCUGGUUUGAGAGGAUGAUCAGCCACACUGGAACUGAGACACGGUCCAGACUCCUACGGGAGGCAGCAGUGGGGAAUAUUGGACAAUGGGCGCAAGCCUGAUCCAGCCAUGCCGCGUGUGUGAAGAAGGCCUUCGGGUUGUAAAGCACUUUCAGUAAGGAGGAAGAGUUGAGUGUUAAUAGUACUCAGCUUUGACGUUACUUACAGAAGAAGCGCCGGCUAACUCUGUG
rnacentral:rRNA from 1 species